GAUUCAUAUAGAUGUUGAAAAUGAGAGGCGGAGGUCAAAGUGUAUUGUUACCUGUCUUGUCGAUCUUAGCUCCUACCCAAAUAUAAUAAUUGUGCCUCAAGUCAAGCAUCGAUAUUUUGAUGAUUUAACUGAUGAAAUUCAAAGAGCAGUUGCUUUGGUUGAACCUGGAAAAAAUUAUAUCUGGAAUAUAACACUAGCAGCCCAUAGUGUGUAGUUAUGCAUUUACGAAGAUUGAAAUUUUAUUUGUUUAUCUCCCUUUUUUUACAAACUUGUAUUUAUAUUUUUACCAAAUUUUAUGUAUUUUAAAAUUGUAUUAAAAAUCAUUUAAAAUU